AGUACAUAUAUGUAUAUACCCCAUA
rnacentral:tRNA from 1 species